UGAGUUGCUUCUCCCCACAGACACAGAGAGCUUAAGAGUUUUAAUUUGUGGGCCCUUGGGGCUGUGCUUUAAGAUCCAUCGGAGUCUCUCUGUGAACAUCUGGUUCACUGCUUUUCAAUGCUUGAGCAGCUACAUCUACCCUCAUCUGCUGUCCACUGCUGCAGGAAUGAGCACCCAGAUGACAGGGAAGGUCACCCACAGACACAGCUAUUUGCAAAGCAAAAGAACAAGAACUACUGCUUGCACUGUCUCACUUCUGGUCAACAACAAACCAGCUAUUAAAAUGACAGAGAAAGGAAAAUGAGAACACAGAGCCAUCAGCUUAUAGCUGUGUAGACAAGGAUCUACCACUUCCCAACACUGCACACCGAGGACCAAGCUUCCAGCCUGUGAACCUUGGGGGACGUACACCAUUUCAAAACCACAGCAUUGACCUUUACUUGUAGUUCCUUUAAUAAAGUCUGUUUCUUACCCCUUACCAGCUGAGUUGCUAGCCAAGUCUGGCUAGGUGUUGAAUGAUACACUAGAACUGGAGCUUGUUCUUGAUAUGGCGGCAGCAGCUCCUGAUCUGGCUCCGUGCCCUCGCCAAAGCUAGCCUGGUUGGACUGAGACUCGUGAAGCAGGUAGAAGUCAUCCGAGAUGGGGGAUUUUAGGCAGUUCCCCAUCUUCAGGGCUGGGCUGUGUGAUCUGUGCACUGUUCCAACCAAAAGAUUUUGUGUGCUGGGCAGACAUUUAUCCUAAGAUCUGUGCAUAGUGACUAACAGACUCCUUAUGGUGUCCAUCCAUGCCUGCAGAGUGCCAGCCCAUGGUCAAUGUUUGGGCCACAGAAUACCCACACCACUUGG